rnacentral:misc_RNA from 1 species
GAAAUGCGAUAAGUAAUGUGAAUUGCAGAAUUCAGUGAAUCAUCGAAUCUUUGAACGCACAUUGCGCCCACUGGUAUUCCGGGGGGCAUGCCUGUUCGAGCGUCAUUUCACCACUCAAGCCUCGCUUGGUAUUGGGCAACGCGGUCCGCCGCGUGCCUCAAAUCGACCGGCUGGGUCUUCUGUCCCCUAAGCGUUGUGGAAACUAUUCGCUAAAGGGUGUUCGGGAGGCUACGCCGUAAAACAACCCCAUUUCUAAGGUUGACCUCGGAUCAGGUAGGGAUACCCGCUGAACUUAAGC